CUACGGGAGGCAGCAGUGGGGAAUUUUGCGCAAUGGGGGAAACCCUGACGCAGCAACGCCGCGUGGAGGAUGAAGUCCCUUGGGACGUAAACUCCUUUCGACCGGGACGAUUAUGACGGUACCGGGAGAAGAAGCCCCGGCUAACUCCGUGCCAGCAGCCGCGGUAAUACGGGGGGGGCGAGCGUUGUUCGGAAUUAUUGGGCGUAAAGGGCGCGUAGGCGGUGUCGCAAGUCGGUAGUGAAAUCUCCAGGCUCAACUUGGAGUCUGCUGCCGAAACUGCGGUGCUUGAGUAUGGGAGAGGUGAGUGGAAUUCCCGGUGUAGCGGUGAAAUGCGUAGAUAUCGGGAAGAACACCUGUGGCGAAAGCGGCUCACUGGACCAUAACUGACGCUGAGGCGCGAAAGCUAGGGGAGCAAACAGGAUUAGAUACCCUGGUAGU
rnacentral:rRNA from 1 species